GCCCCGGGUGGAGAGCGCGAGGGCCUGGCCCAGGCACAGCCUGCGCCUCCGCCCUAGAGGAGGGCGUCACCUCAGCUCCCCCGGGCGGCGGAGCCGGCGGGCUCAGGCGGGCGCGGCGGAGGGGAGCGGACCGCAGGGGGCGGGAUGACUGCGCCCAGAGCCUUUGCGGGCCUCAGUCGGCCCCAGAGGAAGGGGGACCCGUCGAGCGCUUUGGUGCGUGUGAAGCGCGACAUGGCGGGGAAGCAGACGAGCCCGGGUGGCCCAGCGUGUACAGGGAAGGGGGCGGGACUAGAUGCGGCCUUGACAACUACUAGAGCGCCUCGGGCUGUGCGGCUCGAGACUACAUUUCCCAGGGGGGGCCCGCGCGGAGCGGGCGGAAAAGAGAACGCCUCGGAUCCAGUGCGCAGGUGCGAGAGCCAUCCUUGGUUAUAUAAGGGAGGUUUAGGCGCCCAUUCGUUCUUUUGCGUCGGGGGCGCUCGGGGUGUCGGGGUUGUGUGGCUUACAGCCAGGCUUCAUACGCUAUUGUCCUGCCCGUUAGAGCAGCCAGCGGGCAUAGAAUGGAUUUUGGAGGAGGGAGUCACCACUGGGCCUCCAAGGAAGCCACGUGCAGACAUCUACAACCUUCGAUCUCCUGACGAGUUUAUUGUUGGCCAAAACCAGGCUUUGAUUGAACCAGGAUGAAUGCGGGUGUUGGGAAUAGAAUAUAUAUAUACAUAUAAAACCGGUUGGGAGCCACGUGCACCAGUGUGUUGAUCUUGGCUUGAUUCAGUCAGAAACUGGUGAAGGAAUAUGAGAGGAGUCCUCUGGAAAGAAAAGAACAGACCCUGUGCUUUCAUGAAAGUGAAGAUCUGGCUGAACCAGUUCCACAAGGUUAUUGUAUACAUAGCCUGGGUUUAAAAGGCUGUGCCCACUUUGAAAAAUGUCAUUGUUAGACUUUGCUGAAAUUUCUAACUGCCUACCUGGAUAAAGAAAAUAAAAUCUUUUAAAUCAAAA